UUCUCUUUACUGUUGACUUAGAGACAGAUACACCUACUUCCCUGACAGUGUUCUGGACUUCAGUUGAUGUUGUGAACGGGUUCUUCUUCACCAAAGAAAGUAUGCGGCGAUCAUCCACCACCGUUGUCUUCCGUGGACGCCCAGGCCUUUUUGAGUUCCCAAGCUCACCAGUGAAUUCCUUUUUUCUCAGAAUGUACCCGACUGUUGAUUUUGCUACUCCAAGCAUGUCUGCUAUCUCUCUGAUGGAUUUUUUCUUUCUUUUCAGCCUCAGGAUGUUCUGCUUCACCUCAAUUGAGAGUUCCUUUGACCGCAUGUUGUCUGGUCACAGCAACAGCUUCCAAAUGCAAAACCACACACCUCGAAUCAACCCCAGACCUUUUAACUACUUAAUUGAUUACAGGUUAACGAGGGAGACGCCUUCUGAGUUAAUUGCAGCCCUUAGAGUCCAUUGUCCAAUUACUUUUGGUCCCUUGAAAAAGAGGAGGCUAUGCAUUACAGAGCUAUGAUUCCUAAACCCUUUCUCCGAUUUGGAUGUGGAAACUCUCAUAUUGCAGCUGGGAGUGUGCACUUUCAGCCCAUAUUAUAUAUAUAAUUGUAUUUCUGAACAUGUUUUUGUAAACAGCUAAAAUAACAAAACUUGUGUCACUGUCCAAAUAUUUCUGGCCCUAACUGUACCUCACUAAAGCAAAACUA